UGGAUGUUCUCGGACGUUCAAAGC
rnacentral:miRNA from 1 species